rnacentral:rRNA from 1 species
UACGUAGGGGCCUAGCGUUGUCCGGAAUUAUUGGGCGUAAAGGGUGCGUAGGCGGCCUGACAAGUCUGAUGUGAAAUCCCUGGGCUCAACCCAGGGCCUGCAUCGGAAACUGUCGGGCUUGAGUAUGGGAGAGGUGAGUGGAAUUUCCGGUGUAGCGGUGAAAUGCGUAGAUAUCGGAAGGAACACCUGUGGCGAAAGCGGCUCACUGGACCAUUACUGACGCUGAGGCACGAAAGCUAGGGGAGCAAACAGG